rfam:Danio rerio chromosome 4, GRCz11 reference primary assembly.
GUCUCUGUGGCGCAAUCGGUUAGCGCGUUCGGCUGUUAACUGGAAGGUUGGUGGUUCAAGCCCACCCAGGGACG